AUUGAACGCUGGCGGCAGGCCUAACACAUGCAAGUCGAGCGGAUGAAGGGAGCUUGCUCCUGGAUUCAGCGGCGGACGGGUGAGUAAUGCCUAGGAAUCUGCCUGGUAGUGGGGGAUAACGUCCGGAAACGGGCGCUAAUACCGCAUACGUCCUGAGGGAGAAAGUGGGGGAUCUUCGGACCUCACGCUAUCAGAUGAGCCUAGGUCGGAUUAGCUAGUUGGUGGGGUAAAGGCCUACCAAGGCGACGAUCCGUAACUGGUCUGAGAGGAUGAUCAGUCACACUGGAACUGAGACACGGUCCAGACUCCUACGGGAGGCAGCAGUGGGGAAUAUUGGACAAUGGGCGAAAGCCUGAUCCAGCCAUGCCGCGUGUGUGAAGAAGGUCUUCGGAUUGUAAAGCACUUUAAGUUGGGAGGAAGGGCAGUAAGUUAAUACCUUGCUGUUUUGACGUGACCAACAGAAUAAGCACCGGCUAACUUCGG
rnacentral:rRNA from 1 species